rnacentral:lncRNA from 1 species
GUGGGUAGGUCUAGACAUGAGGAAAUUCUCUCGGUAGCAAUAUUACCUAAACAUAGGAAUAGGAGGACUGAUUGCCUUAAGCUUCUUUGCGAAUUAUGUAAUGCAUGAUUAAUUGCUAGGGAGACUAGGCAUAGUAAACUAGUAAUUAGGAGUAGGCUCUCUUCACCAAGAUAUUGGGAUUAGGGGAAUUUAGAAAGUGACAUUAACAUUGAUAACUAAGUAGAAUUUAGUAGGAUUAGUAAAUAUAUGAGAAUGGAUUAGG